GCCCGGGUGGCGGAAUUGGUAUACGCAGGAGACUUAAAAUCUCCCGGUCGCAAGACCUUGUGGGAUCGUUGCCCACCCCGGGCA
rnacentral:tRNA from 1 species